GAUGAACGCUGGCGGCGUGCCUAAUACAUGCAAGUCGAGCGAACAGACGAGGAGCUUGCUCCUCUGACGUUAGCGGCGGACGGGUGAGUAACACGUGGAUAACCUACCUAUAAGACUGGGAUAACUUCGGGAAACCGGAGCUAAUACCGGAUAAUAUAUUGAACCUCAUGGUCCAAUAGUGAAAGACGGUUUUGCUGUCACUUAUAGAUGGAUCCGCGCCGCAUUAGCUAGUUGGUAAGGUAACGGCUUACCAAGGCGACGAUGCGUAGCCGACCUGAGAGGGUGAUCGGCCACACUGGAACUGAGACACGGUCCAGACUCCUACGGGAGGCAGCAGUAGGGAAUCUUCCGCAAAGGGCGAAAGCCUGACGGAGCAACGCCGCGUGAGUGAUGAAGGUCUUCGGAUCGUAAAACUCUGUUAUUAGGGAAGAACAAAUGUGUAAGUAACUAUGCACGUCUUGACGGUACCUAAUCAGAAAGCCACGGCUAACUACGUG
rnacentral:rRNA from 1 species